GGCCGUGUGGCAUAAUGGCAACGCGUCUGACUACGAAAAGGUAAUCAGGAGAUUGCAGGUUCGACCCCUGUCUCGGUCA